rnacentral:rRNA from 1 species
AUUGAACGCUGGCGGCAGGCCUAACACAUGCAAGUCGAGCGGAUGAAGAGAGCUUGCUCUCUGAUUCAGCGGCGGACGGGUGAGUAAUGCCUAGGAAUCUGCCUGGUAGUGGGGGACAACGUUUCGAAAGGAACGCUAAUACCGCAUACGUCCUACGGGAGAAAGCAGGGGACCUUCGGGCCUUGCGCUAUCAGAUGAGCCUAGGUCGGAUUAGCUAGUUGGUGAGGUAAUGGCUCACCAAGGCGACGAUCCGUAACUGGUCUGAGAGGAUGAUCAGUCACACUGGAACUGAGACACGGUCCAGACUCCUACGGGAGGCAGCAGUGGGGAAUAUUGGACAAUGGGCGAAAGCCUGAUCCAGCCAUGCCGCGUGUGUGAAGAAGGUCUUCGGAUUGUAAAGCACUUUAAGUUGGGAGGAAGGGCAUUAACCUAAUACGUUAGUGUUUUGACGUUACCGACAGAAUAAGCACCGGCUAACUCUGUGCCAGCAGCCGCGGUAAUACAGAGGGUGCAAGCGUUAAUCGGAAUUACUGGGCGUAAAGCGCGCGUAGGUGGUUUGUUAAGUUGGAUGUGAAAGCCCCGGGCUCAACCUGGGAACUGCAUUCAAAACUGACAAGCUAGAGUAUGGUAGAGGGUGGUGGAAUUUCCUGUGUAGCGGUGAAAUGCGUAGAUAUAGGAAGGAACACCAGUGGCGAAGGCGACCACCUGGACU